GGAUGAACGCUGGCGGCGUGCUUAACACAUGCAAGUCGAACGCGCAUCCCUUGAACUUCGGUGAGAGGGAGGGCGAGUGGCGAACGGGUGAGUAACACGUAGGAACCUGCCCUGAAGAGGGGGAAAACGGCUGGAAACGGCCGCUAAUCCCGCAUGGACUCCGCAAGGAGUAAAGCUUCGGCGCUUCAGGAAGGGCCUGCGGCCUAUCGGGUAGUUGGUGGGGUAAUGGCCUACCAAGCCGAUGACGGGUAGGGGGCGUGAGAGCGCGACCCCCCGCACGGGAACUGAGACACGGUCCCGACGCCUACGGGCGGCAGCAGUGAGGAAUCUUGCGCAAUGGGGGAAACCCUGACGCAGCGACGCCGCGUGCGGGAAGAAGGCCUUCGGGUCGUAAACCGCUUUUCUGUGGGACGAGGAAGGACGGUACCACAGGAAUAAGUCCCGGCUAACUACGUGCCAGCAGCCGCGGUAACACGUAGGAGGCAAACGUUAUCCGGAUUCACUGGGCGUAAAGCGCGUGCAGGUGGUUUCGUAAGUAGGGCGUGAAAGCUCCCGGCUCAACUGGGAGAGGCCGUACUAAACUGCGGAGCUAGAGGAUGGUAGAGGGAGGUGGAAUUCCAGGUGUAGUGGUGAAAUGCGCAGAUAUCUGGAGGAACACCAGUGGCGAAGGCGGCCUCCUGGACCAUACCUGACACUCAGACGCGAAAGCUAGGGUAGCAAACGGAAUUAGAGACUCCGGUAGUCCUAGCCCUAAACGACGCAGACUAGGCGUCGGCGGUUUAAUCACCGUCGGUGUCCAAGCUAACGCGAUAAGUCUGCCGCCUGAGGACUACGGCCGCAAGGCUAAAACUCAAAGGAAUUGACGGGUCCCCGCACAAGCAGCGGAGCGUGUGGUUUAAUUCGAUGCUCCGCGAAGAACCUUACCUGGGUUUGACAUAACAGUGGUAGAGAAACGAAAGUGGACCGACCCUUCGGGGAGCUGUUACAGGUGUUGCAUGGCUGUCGUCAGCUCGUGUCGUGAGAUGUUCGGUUAAGUCCGCUAACGAGCGCAACCCGCGCUGUGUGUUACAAGUGUCACACAGUACCGCCGGUAUUAAGUCGGAGGAAGGUGCGGAUGACGUCAAGUCAGCAUGACCUUUAUAUCCAGGGCUACACACACGCUACAAUGGUCAGCACAAUAGGUUGCCAAGCCGCAAGGCGGAGCCAAUCCUCCAAAGCUGGCCUCAGUUCAGAUUGCAGGCUGCAACUCGCCUGCAUGAAGUCGGAGUUGCUAGUAACCGCAGGUCAGCAUACUGCGGUGAAUACGUUCCCGGGGAU
rnacentral:rRNA from 1 species